ACGAACGCUGGCGGCUGCUUAACACAUGCAAGUCGAACGGAGUGGCGAACGGGUGAGUAACGCGUGAGCAACCUGCCUAUGACCGUGGGAUAGCCUCGGGAAACCGGGAUUAAUACCGCAUAGUAAUAGAUGGGCUCGCGUCUGAUUAGCUAGUUGGUGAGAUCACAGCUCACCACGGCGACGAUAAGGAGCCGGUCUGAGAGGAGGAACGGCCACAUUUGAACUGAGACACGGUCCAAACUCCUACGGGAGGCAGCAGUGGGGAAUAUUGCACAAUGGGGUAAACCCUGAGGCAGCGACGCCGCGUGAACGAAGAAGGUAUUCGUAUCGUAAAGUUCUGUCCUAUGGGAAGCAGUACCAUAGAAGAAAGCUCCGGCUAAAUACGUGCCAGCAGCCGCGGUAAUUC
rnacentral:rRNA from 1 species